rnacentral:rRNA from 1 species
UACAGAGGGGGCAAGCGUUGUUCGGAAUUACUGGGCGUAAAGGGCGCGUAGGCGGCCUUCUAAGUCAGACGUGAAAUCCCUCGGCUCAACCGGGGAACUGCGUCUGAGACUGAAAGGCUUGAAUCCGGGAGAGGGAUGUGGAAUUCCAGGUGUAGCGGUGAAAUGCGUAGAUAUCUGGAGGAACACCGGUGGCGAAGGCGGCAUCCUGGACCGGUAUUGACGCUGAGGCGCGAAAGCUAGGGGAGCAAACGGG